AGCCUUUCUCUAAAGCUGCUGUUGCUGGGGUUUAUGUCCAGCAGGCUCACGCAGACGGCUUUCGAAAAAGCGACAUGGGGGAAAAGCUGUUGUUGGUAGUUCUGUGUAUCACCUCUUUCACAGUGUUAGAAUCCAGAAAGACCUUCAGCAUAAGAAAGUUUUUAAACACGACAUCACCAAUAUGGACUUACAAUACCACCAGAGGCAGCCACGGCUUCUGUAACGUGGACGUGAUGAUAUAUAUAAACAGAACGCACGUGCUGUAUAACCAUAUUUUCUACGAAAGAACACAUCAGAGGAAAUCAAUGGCAAUGACGGGAGCUUUUGUUCGAAAGGAUGCUCUGGUUGUUCAAGUUCACGGUAAUGGAGAAAGUUGAAUUCCCGCACCUUAAAAGCGAGCACAGAGGGGAUAUCUCUUAUUGGCACAGUACUGCAAACCAAUGUACAUUGACAAUAUACUCAUUAUUCAUAAAAGAAGGAUCUUGCUGCCCUGCCGUAGAAUUUUUCCUGGAAGACAUAAUUACAACUAUCCCCAUGCCGGGCGCUCGUAUAAGUGUUACAUUUAUUCCGUAGUAUGCGGUCGUAUAAAAAUAGAAAAUAAGUUUAAAGGUGUGACG
rnacentral:lncRNA from 1 species